UUCUGCUCUUUAGUGAGCUCAAUAACUGAGAAAAGUUUCUUUGUUUGCAUAAUACAUGCUUCGACAACCAUGGGGUCUGGUCCACAUCAAAAUGAGGAGGGUUCAACUAGUGGAAUUCAUAGAUAUUUUAUGAAAUAACAUGGUCAAGGUGAUAGUGGUCAUCCGCAUGAUGUGGGCAUCCGAGGUUAUGAGCAAGGUUAUGGCCCACAGUGACGGUCAAACCCUAAU
rnacentral:lncRNA from 1 species